rnacentral:lncRNA from 9 species
AUAUGAAAGUUCCCAGGCUAGGGGUCCAAUUGGAGCUGCAGCUGCCAGCCACAGCCACAGCCACAGCCACUGCAACGCAGGAUCUGACCCACAUCUGUGACCUACACCACAACUCACGGCAACACCAGAUCCUGUACCAACCAAGUGAGGCCAGGGAUCAAACCUGCAUCCUUCUGGAUAAUAGCUGGGUUUGUUACCACUGAGCCACAAUGGGAACUCUUACGAGAACUUUUUUUUAAAGACAAAGGAGAACUAUAGAAAAUAACUAAAAGGGAGAGGGAAUACACAUGUCUAAAGUCAAGAUCCUUAGUCAAAGUGAAUAUUUUCAAGUAUCCACAGGUUUAGAAUUUCGAUAAAAAGUUGCAAUUGAUUUUACUUUUGCUAUUAUCAUUAUUAAAAACUAUAUGUAUAGAGGACAUAUACACAAAAUUCAUGUACACUAUAUAUAUAUACACAUAUAUACACACACACUACUCUAAAAGAAGUGAUUUGAAAGGGGAAAAGUGUUUACCAAAUACAUUAUCAAAUAUCAGUAUGGGCUCUCCCAAAAUCAAUAAAAAUUAGCAUUUUUACAGCAUGCAGACCCCUCUAAAUUGAUUGAAAUAGUAAUAGCUAAUAUUUAUUUGAAUGCUGACUGUAUGCCAACCAUGCAAUAUUUCACAUAUGGUUAAUCUAUUUAAUCCUCAUACUAACCCUUGAAGUACAUAUUAUUACUACCCCCCAUGACAGAUGAGAAUUCCGAAACACCAAAAUCUUAAGUAAUUUUCCCAAGUUUACACAGCUAAUAACUGGAACCUUGGGACUGCAGUACAAAACAUAUGGCUCCAUCUACUUCACACUAUACUAUGCCUCAAAUGUAGAAUACAAGGAUCACUAUCAUACAAAAGCAGGUAGUUAAAACUGUUUUAUGGCUCAGUGAUGAGAAGUCAUCAGAAGCAAACAUGCAGCAUGAGGCCGUCAAUUUGUGCACAUGUAUUUUAUUAAAGUAAUUAUUGAUGCUGUGUACUUUUAAUUCAAGGGAGCUCUUAUAACUUAUGUUCAUAAGCCAACUCAUGCAACUAGAGUUUAAAUAAUGACCUCUGAGACACAGACAGAAUUAACUGUCCUAGACACUGAAGUAUCUGGAUAACUUAUCCAUGGCUUAUCAAGCCAAAGGCACAUUGUGACUGGAUGAAAACAUAAAUCUUAUGAUCCUCAAUUUACUGUUUUAGAGUUUUGGACAUCUCUUUCACAGAUAACUGUUUUGAACUUGGGUAUCAAAGGUAACUAUUAAAGGUAGCUUGUUUAAACACCUACUCAGAGCAAUGUUAUUUCAAAAAACAAUAUUAGUAACGGUAAGAUUAUCGUGUAGCGUUAACAUGCUCUAAUCUGAGUGUUGGGACUGCAUAUUUCUUAACAGCAAUUUUUACUUGUCAUAUGUUUACUACCUAGAGAGAAAAAUUCUGAACAUACACUCUCUCAUUUCCUUGUGCCAUAGCUUUCUCUCACACUGAGAAACUUUUGCAUCUACUACAUUUCUCCUAGUAAAAUAUCAGGAUAGUGUCUAAUUCUCCAACUGUUUCACUUACAGGCUUUACCAUUAAUCUGAUACGGUCUGAAUGGUACAGAAAACCUUCCUUCAUGAUCUGGGUGUUUAGGCAACACUGGGAAAUUUUGUUCAAUUUGUUCACAAUACUGAAUUAAUAGUUGCUUUUUAAUGUUUCUCUAGGACCAAGACUUAUUGGCAAGUUGAUUUAAAGUCAGAACAAGUAGUAAGAAUUUCUGACACGUUUCCUCCCCUUCCUCGAAGUCACAUGUUCAAGAAGGAGGAGUCCUGUCGAGGAGCUAUACUUCAACACACACAUCAGAAAACACCGAACUCGCAGUGGCACUGCAGGAAAAAACAGGAGAAAGCUGCAGCCCUGGAGAGCAAAUGCUUCACCAGGAUCUGGUUUCCACAGAGUGGGCUCCACUCUGGAUCAAGAAACAGAACAUCAAGGAAAUGCUCUCUGGAUCACAGUAACGUUAAUCUUUCAUAUCUCUCAGAAAAUAGUGCGCCUGGGGUGGUAAACAACUUGUGAGACGUCAAAGAGAGAGACCUUGGACCUGUAUGGCCGGGUUCUUCUGAGUUUCUUUCAAGAUGCUUAGAACAAAAAAAACACUGUAAACCUCAACAGAGAAAUUCUCCUUUUUAUCUUUAUUAUGAGGGAAAGACUAAUUUAGUCUCUCUUAUACUGAGAGGAGGACAUGAAGCCAUGUCUUAUUUGUGAUUCCAGACAUGUUCAUCCAACAUAAAUAAAAGAGGGAAACAGAUGAGAUUAAAUAGGAAAUGUAAUAUUCUAUUCAGGAAGACUGUGGACCUAGGAAAGAUUCAGAUAUUUUUGUGCCAAUUUUAAGUCUCAUAAUGUGGAUGAAAAAUCACUUGGAGAUUUCCUAUGUUGGGAUUUUAAUAGGCAGGAGAACAUGUUCCCCUUCCUGAAUUAAUCUUUGGAGGCUACAAGGGUAAUGGAAAUAGUUAAGAAAUUAACGGUGUGGCACUGGCUUUAAUUUUUUUAAUUUUUCGAUUGUGUUUUCACAUCAUUUUAAACGAAGGUCUGUAUUAUUCAGACACUAGGCACAAUUACACACACUGACCUGUCCGUCAAAAUAAACAAGUAUUAAUUAGUUUUUCAUCUCCCUGCUUGGACACUAUAGAGCUCUAAUGUUACAUGACAGCUUGCAAUACAUUUCAGAGACUUAUUUUUUUCUCUCUGUCCAGCUUGAUCAAUGGUAGAACCCAGGCUCAAAUCAUGAUUCUCGGGAAGCUACCUAUGAGGAAAUCACCAAAUGACUCUCUCAAAACAGCUAUAUUGACAGUAUAUUCAGUUAAUCUUCUAAACGUGUCCACGUUUGAAUUAUUGCCAUAGUUUGAAGGAACUUCUUCAUGCUAUUGAGGAAAUACAUUGAAAUGCAUAACAAACAAAAAAACACAGCUUUUUACACUAUAGCUACAGUACAAAAGAAAGUGAGAGGCAUCGGUGUGACAUUUAGCUCUUAUUUUUCAAUCCUGUAAAUAAAAUCCAGUUAUUUUUAAUGGAAGAUUUCUGUAUGCUACUUUGGCUUCAGGUGUUAAAAAGUUAUCCUUUUGUAUUCAGAGAUAGGAAACAAUGAAGGUCUACUAUUGAUAAUCUGCUCAAUUGUUAAAAGUUUUGGCAGGUCCGAUAUGCCCAUGCAUAUCUGUUUGUAUCCCACUACUGAAUCAUGCUGGGCUUAUUAUUUAUUUGAAUAGAAAGUAAUGUUUCAAGUUAUUUUUCCCAACCUAUAGAAAUCCGCUAUGUGUUACUACAUAGAUUAAACCACAAUCUUUUUUUCUUUUCCAUUCAUCUGCCACCUACUAUCAUCCUAUUCAGGUAACCGCAAAAUAGCAGCCUAAUUUUUCCAUUGCAAAAAAAAAUGUGCUUCCUGACAACUUAAUGAUUUUUCAUUAUUCAUAGUGUGACAACUUUUCUUUUCACCAAAAAUCAUGCAUAUUCAUGGAUGUAUUUAUAUAUAUAUUUAUAUAUAUAAUGCUUUAGGUUUUACAGACAGAGCAAAGAGAAAUAAAACGCAUGUCUGCCUUCUUAAAGCUUAUAGACUACUAUGUGGAUGGGGGGCAUAUUAAACAUUUUCCUACAUGCUGCAUGAGUAUAAUUUUUCCCUAUAAUAAUUGCUAUAAUUAAUAAUUAUUGAGACAUCCUACAUUCCAAGCAUUGUUCUAAGCACUUUACAUUUAUUAUUCAUUUGAUCUUCACCCCAACCCCAAGUGAUUUUAUUGUCCCCAUUUUUACAGAGGAGAAAACUGAGCCCAGAAGUGUGAUCUAACUUUUCUGGAGUCACACGGCUAAGUAACUUGCAGAAACAUGAACAAACGCUCUCUGCUUACGCUGUCACACUCCAUGCUAUACUGGCCCUCUGUAAAUCUCUCCAUACAUGAUACUAGAUGUCAGGCAAAAAAGAGAUUAUGAGUUCAGACAACCCCUCUUUAAGCAAUAAACAUUUAAGAGGUAGUUUAAAGUGUGAGUACAACUUAGAUUCCACCUAGAAGUCAUAUCAUAUGAUAUCACUUUGUCUUUCUCUGUCUGACUUACUUCACUCAGUAUGAUAAUAUCUAGGUCUAUCCAUGUUGCUGCAAAUGGCACUCUUUUAUUCUUUUUAUGGCUGCAUAAUAUUCCACUGCAUAAAUGUAGCACAUCUUCUUUAUCCAUGCCUCUGUCAGUGGACAUUUAGGCUGUUUCCAUGUCUUAGCUAUUGUAAAUAAUGCGGCAGUGAACACUGGAGUGCAUGUUUCAUUUCAAAUUAUGGUCUUCUCUGGCUAUGUGCCCAGGAGCAGAACUGCUGGAUCAUAUAUGGUAGUUCUCAACAAGAACCUACUGUAGAGCUCAGGGAAAUCUACUCUACAGUUUGUAACUAUAUUUAUAUAUACAUAUAAUUCACUUUGCUAUGUACCUGAAACUAAUACAAUAUUUUAUGUCAACUAUACUCCAAAAAUUUAAAAAAGAAUGAAGAAAACAGGCAGAGUGAAUAUGAGCUUAGAAACGAAUGAAAAGGGUUCCAAGGGCUUUAGCUAGAAAUGAAUUUGACAUGUCAAACUGAGAGAAGGAUAGUAGUCAAUAUGUGUAAAAUGAGCCACAGGAUGAAAAUGAGGCCUCUAUUCCUUAAAGGUAAUGGAAAGUGACUGGCAUGGAUAACGAGAUUUUGUAUAAUUGAAACAAUGUAAAGGCACAAGAUUGGAUUUCCCGUCGUGGCGCAGUGGUUAACGAAUCCGGCUAGGAACCAUGAGGUUGCGGGUUUGGUCCCUGCCCUUGCUCAGUGGGUUAACGAUCCGGCAUUGCCGUGAGCUGUGGUGUAGGUCGCAGACGCGGCUCGGAUCCGGCUCUGGCGUAGGCCUGUGGCUCUGGCGUAGGCCUGUGGCUACAGCUCCGAUUCGACCCCUAGCCUG